rnacentral:rRNA from 1 species
UACAUAGGAUGCAAGCGUUAUCCGGAUUUACUGGGCGUAAAACGAGUGCAGGCGGAUUAGCAAGUUUGGUAUGAAAGGCUUUUGCUUAACGAAAGUUUGUAUCAAAAACUGUUAAUCUAGAGUGUAGUAGAGAGUUCUGGAAUUCCAUGUGGAGCGGUGGAAUGCGUAGAUAUAUGGAAGAACACCAGUGGCGAAGGCGAGAACUUAGGCUAUCACUGACGCUUAGGCUCGAAAGUGUGGGGAGCAAAUAGG